AUGAGGACACAGUGGAGAAAAAUCCCAUUGCAAACAAAGCACAAAAUACAUGGGACGCAGGAGCACUGUAGCCCAGAAGUCUCCAUCAGGGACAGUAUGUUGUAUGAUGCCCAACCACAGAGCUUGGUGAAAAAUGAAGUUUCUCUUUGUUCCAGGACACUGGAACCUUCAUCUCCCAUCACAUCAUCCGAAGAUGACUCAGACAGCUAUCGAUGGGGAUCUAGGCCUUUGGCUGCUUUUAUAGAUGAGCACAGAUUCCUUCCAGUCUCUGGGAUAGGAAAGGGUAAUUGUAAAUGGCAUUUAAACUGGAGCGUUAAAUAAAAAAUAUCUUUCCAUACAACAGCAGACAGUAGGUCCUGGCAAUUUCUCAAAGAUUUUAGUUCACAGAUUUGAGAAAAUUCCAUUAGCUUUAAUUAUUUAUCAGCAGUCAAUUUAGAUUACUGUUCUUGACCUAUUUUCACAGUGUAUGGGCCACCCAGCAGUAGAAUAAAUGAAUAGUCUUUUUCUGCAAUGGUUGAUUUUCUGAAAUAAUAGAAAUCUAGUUGAAAGAAGGAAUGAAACCCCAAACAUGUAAUUACCACAGUAUAGACCCUGCCAUGCUGCCUUUGUAGUAGGAUAAAAUGCAUGUCUUUGUGAGUUUUUUGGUUAUUAAAUAAGAUUAUCUUGAAAGGGAUAAACUCACUCAUGCUAUAAUUUCUUCCCAUUUAAAUUUCUUUGCUCCAUUUAAAACAUGUUCUGUGUCCUGGCAGAAAGUCUCUAAUGCUGAUGGGUGUGCCUUUGGCACUAUCUUAAUAAAGCUGUGUGAUGGGAGGACAAACUUUGUGGAACCUGAGUGUGGUGGGAGGAGACCCCAGGAAUGUGCAGGGCCUAGGUGCAGGGAGAGGGGCAGCAAGGGGCACCAACAACAGAAGCCCCUAGGUUUCCAAGCAAGAGUGAGUCUGGAGAAUCUAUUGGCUGGUGAAUGGUGACAUGUGUAUCAGAGUAAUGCCAAAUUUCGACAGAAUGUGACAGAGGCUUAUGAUGGUAUGAAGGACAUGAGGAAGGGAAGAUGAGCAAUGUGCGAUGGCCACAACAUGAAGGCAGCUCAAAUGCUGGGAUGCUACUAUCUUCCAGGUGGGGCCUGGAUACUCCUGGUUCCCUCAGACCCUGUUCAAGGGCCCAGGGGUCUCAAACUACUUGUUACAUGCCUUUUUACUAGAAGCUUUGUCACCUGUAAUGACAUCUUUAUUCUGAUACUGUACAAAACCCGUUUUUAAUCUCUUACAUGGUCAGUGUUGAUAGAUAUAACAUGCACACGCACAUACUGGGGUAGGGAGAGCUUUCCCAAGCCCUCAAAGUUUCAGAAAUGGCUGCUCCAAGGAGUAUAGCUUUAGAGCCGAGAACUGCUGAUUGUCAGGAAGUCAAGGCUGUGCG
rnacentral:lncRNA from 1 species